rnacentral:lncRNA from 1 species
AAUCUUAAAGUGUCAUUUUGAAAUGUUAUAGUGUCAUUCGGAAUAUUAUAGUGUCAUUUUAAAAUGUUAUAGUGUCAUUUGAAAUGUUCAAAAGUGUCAUAGUGUCAUUUAAAAAUUUAAAGUUUCAUUUGAAAUUUUAAAGUUUAAUUUGUAUAUCAUCAAAGUUUCAUUUGUAUAUCAUCAAAGUUUCAAUCUAUAAUAGUGUGAAAGGAGCGCGCAUGGUGAGCGCACAAAUUGCACGGCGCUCAUUUAAGUUUUUGUCA